UUCCUCCAAAGGACAAGAUAUGUGGCCAGCAGACAAGGCACCAUUGCCCGAUCAUGAAAAUGUUUCUGUUGUUUAUGAGUUAAUCUGAACUGUUCACGAGUGAAAACACUAUUGGUCCUCUGUGUCUAGUUUUUCUCUCAUCUCUUCUCUCCUUUUCAAGACAGCCAGCUUUCCAAUGAAAUUCACAUCCUAGAUAAGACCCUUGCUGCACGGGUAAGAUAGCAGACAUCAAGGCUCAUGGAUGAUAGAAAGAAGCUAGCAGCCAAACAUGAGAAGAGGAGCCUGGGACUCAGCAAAGACAUAGCUGAGCACAGUGUCCACAUUUCUGUAUGGCAGCCAGCUGGGUGCUGAGGAGGAAACUAUCUUUAGGGGACCCUAAGGUGGAACUUAAGAAGGCAGACUGCCACACACAGCAUCUUAUUUGGAUGUGCCUGGAGUCUUGGAAACUUGACUACCCUAUAUUCUGCAAAUGGACACUGAGAACUUGUUUGGAGGUUCUGCAGGGAAGUACAGUUACUCAUACAUGUUCCUCUUCUCUCUGGGAAAGUCCUUCUAUUAAACCAAGCUAGCUAACAUGUUCCAAAAGAACACACAGAGAAUGAUGAAGUAGGAAGGGGAUUCUGCCUAGCCAGCCAGGUCAGCCUAUGAAUGCUUGCACUCAAUAGAGAGAGAGACAGGUGUGUUGCAUCCAGAUCACUCUCAUAUUUGAUAAUCUCUUAACUUGAUAUUAAAUGCAGUAUAAUGACAAAUAGACAAAAAACACAAUUAAAUGAAGUUAAAAAUAAACUCAAUCCAUUUGAAUGCCAAAGUGAAGUCAGAUUAUUGUAUUGAAUGUAAUAUAUAUAAAAGAUAGAACUGGGAAGGCUGUAGUCAUACAGUUGACAUACACCUCACAGAUGAGGAAACUUGAGGCAGAGAAAAUGAUAGGAAUUCAUGAACAUAUUUUAAACUUUCACACAAGCUGAGGCACACAAGAAGACUAAUUUGCCAGACCCCCCUUGAACCUGCCUGCUACUGAAUUCUAUUCAGUGCAUUGUAAGCAGAAAUUAUAUACAUAUUUGGGCACAUGGGUGGCUCAGUCAGUUGAGCGUCCAACUUGGGUCAGGUCAUGAACU